GCGACCGUAGUCUAGUGGCAGGAUCUUGGCUUCCCAAGCCAAUGACCCGGGUUCGAACCCCGGCGGUCGCA
rnacentral:tRNA from 1 species